CGCACGAACAUACACGACACGUCCAAACGCAUUAAAAAAUAAAUCUAAUUUAUACAAAACAACACAAUUUUGAAAAAAUUUAACGGAUAGCUAGCCGUACAACAGUAACUGGUUCUAUAUUAUUUACAAACAUUCGUCGGUACAACUACUCAAAAAUGAUGCGCUUAUUUUCUGGUUUUUUUAAACGAAGAGAGGAGGAGGCGAAAAAUGAUGAGCCGGUAGUCGAUACCGUAUCCAUUCCUCUAGUGCAUGAAGGUAUCGAAGAUAACGCGGUGGUCCGAGAAGUCACGCCAAGAAAUUUAAGAAAGAGGCGUGCUCCGGUGAGUAGUACAGAUGAACAACCGGCUAGAAAAACCAGAAAGAAGGCCAAAACCGUUUCGCCAUCAAUUCCUACGGAAGAGGACUUUACACCUUUGCAGGAGGAGAGUAUGGAAGUGGUAUCUCCAAAAAAAGGCAGGAAGAGGGCUUUGGUCAACAAUUCAGCUGAAGAACCGGCCGGAAAAUCCAGAAAGAAUGCCAGAACCGUUUCUCCAUCAAUUCCUACGGAAGAGGACUCUACUCUUUUGCAGGAGGAGAGUAUGGAAGUGGUAUCUCCAAAAAAAGGCAGGAAGAGGGCUUUGGUCAACAAUUCAGCUGAAGAACCGGCCGGAAAAUCCAGAAAGAAUGCCAGAACCGUUUCUCCAUCAAUUCCUACGGAAGAGGACUCUACUCCUUUGCAGGAGGAGAGUAGGGCUUUGGUCAACAAUUCAGCUGAAGAACCGGCCGGAAAAUCCAGAAAGAAUGCCAGAACCGUUUCACGAUCAAUUCCUACGGAAGAGGACUCUUCACCUUUACAGGAGGAGAGUAUUGAGGUGGUCUCUCCAAUAAAAUUUGAAGAACCGAAGAUCAAGGCUGGAACCCGUGCAACGACCAGGAAAAGAAAGUGAAGGUCAAUCCUAUCGGCACUGAUUCAUCAAGCCCCUCGCAAAUUAUCAGUAUUCUGUACUACCGGACCAGGCAAAACGCGCUCGACCUCUGAACCCGGGAAAUCGGAAUCUGAAUCACGUACGACCUGGACAAGUGUAAAACGUGAUGGACUGGAUCGGCGGUGGGCUACUACUGCCGAUAUCGUAAGCGUGAAAUCUGUCAGAUCCGGGAGCCUCAGAGAUCCAAAUCUAUUGUCACAUUAAUUUGACUUUUUAUGGGUGUUACUUGUUAUUUUUUCUCCUUUUUGGCCAUGUCGCCUGGAUCGAAAAGCGGAAAUUGUCACUUUGGCUUGAGAGAGAGAGAGAGAUUGGCCAAGAUUUCUGGAAUGAAAGCGAAGUGAAACCGCUGACGAUGCAGUUAAAUUUAAAGUUGAAUCCGUAAGAUGCUUUUGGCCGUUCGCACGAUCACACCUAAUAACGGUAAUUUACACACACGCUACUUGCGAUAAUUGCGACGCCAAAUGUGCUGACAGGCACACAGGAUACGACUUCCCGAUCCUCCGAUCCGCUGCCCCCAAAGGCCAAAAGCCGAGGAACCAUGACCAAAGCCAAGCCGAGUCCGUAGUCAAAGUCGAACCGCGCAUCCCGAUGAACUGAGUGAGAUAACAGCCAAGCUAAAUCAGCAGCAAAGCGGCAAAAGCUUCGGUUAUUAAACACGGCAGUCGGAAUCGGACCUUCCCAGAUCCAGAAGACGUACACUGGAAGGAAACUAGUGCUACAACCUCGAGCCCACAAAAGCGAGAUCACAAUCUUGUACAGCACUGUUGGCAGGGCACUCGCUACACAUAAUCUUC